UGUGGCGUCCUCUCGUUCCGGGCAUCCGUUCGGGCAAUAUGCGAGUGUUUCCGGUUCCAAUCUGCUGAUGAAGUGGUUUAGUUUGUUGUGGCCGCUGCGUAGUCGGAAGAAGGCUGAUUGGAUAGUUCUUUUCUUAUUGGUGUGCCAUGUGGCAUUGCGUCGGUCCUUCCGGAUGUUUGUCGCCAGUUGGUCUGCGAUUUCGUUUCCAACGAUUCCGGCGUGUGAGGGUAUUGCUGGGCUUGACUCCCAUUUGAAGUUGGAUAUUGCUUGAAUGGAAGAUUUUGAAUCAGUGAAGAUGUUGGCUGAGUCCAUCUCGUACUUGUUGAGGUAUGUGGAAUGCACAGCUGGCAGUUUUUGUUGUCUCGCACACUGAUCCAUCAGUGUAUACUUCAAGGUGGUUGGUGUUUGGAUUACGAUUGCAGUUGGAGUGGGAUCGUUGUGGCUGCUUUGGUUUUCGCCGUGGAAUAUAUUGCGAUGUCAUCGGCGAAAAGGGAAGUUUCGCAUCCUUCUUCUGGGAUUGGGAAGUCCGCAAGCAUUACGUUGAAUAGGAGGGGGCUGAGCACACUUCCUUGAGGGACUCCUUUGGAAAUUUUUCUUUCUUCGGAUAGGUUGUUGUUUACUCUUGUCCUUAUGCCUCUUCCGGAGUCCUUCUAUCCAUGUGUUGUCGUACGCCUUCGAGAUGUCCAGGAAUAUUGCUGUGGUUGGGUGGCUGCUGUUUAAGCCGGAUUUGAUGGCUGAUGCUAUUCGGAUUAGAUUGUCGGUGGUGGUACAUCCUCUUCGGAAUCCGGUUUGGACUUUCGGCAUGAUGUCAAUGAGACUGGUCUGUACGAUUCCGCUUCUCCGGGUGGAUUGCCUGGUUUGAGGAUGGGUGUGACGAUGGCACAUUUCCAAUCUUUUGGGAUGUAUCCUUCCCUGAACAUCAAGUUGAUUGUUGUGAGUAGACUCUUACGAUUUCCACCGUUUAAGUUUUUCAGCAUUCUGUUGUGGAUUCUGUCAAGGCCCAUCGCUUUGUCUGGUAGUUGGGAGAGGCUCCUUGUCAAUUCUUGAAUGGUGAAGUUAGAGUUGAGGGGUUCGGCAUCCGGGUUCUUGAUUUGUUUUUCAAUUUCCUUUACUUGCUCUGGCCUUGUUGGUGGGAUGUCAUCGUCGAUAGGGGAGAACUGCUCCAAGAAAAUGUUGGCUUUCUCCACUGGGUCUCUUGUUUGUUCACCUUUCUGGUUGUUGAGGGGGGCAUUGAUGGUUUCUCUCCGUCCGUUCAUCAUUGUUUUUGCGAAUUUCCAAAACUUUGAUGUGUUUUUUCCGUCUAGUGAGUCGAUGUGUCUUUCCCACGAGCUAUUUUUUGAUUCUAGGAUUGUCCUCUUCUUAAUUGCUUCCAUUUUGUUGAGGUGUGUUUUGUCGGUUUGGAGUAAUCGAACGCGUAUUUAGUACCGCAGCAGAUAUUCUUCACGCUAAACGUAGCAGAAUGAAAGCCGAUCUUUU